rnacentral:rRNA from 1 species
GAUAGAACAUUAUACCUGGAAUGGUUUAUGUUCCAAAUGAUUUAUCGCCGUAGGAUGGGACUGCGGCCUAUCAGUUUGUUGGUGAGGUAAUGGCCCACCAAGACUAUUACAGGUACGGGCUCUGAGAGGAGUAGCCCGGAGAUGGGUACUGAGACACGGACCCAGGCCCUAUGGGGCGCAGCAGGCGAGAAAACUUUGCAAUGUGCGAAAGCACGACAAGGUUAAUCCGAGUGAUUUGUGCUAAACGAAUCUUUUGUUAGUCCUAGAAACACUAACGAAUAAGGGGUGGGCAAGUUCUGGUGUCAGCCGCCGCGGUAAAACCAGCACCUCAAGUGGUCAGGAUGAUUAUUGGGCCUAAAGCAUCCGUAGCCGGCUCUGUAAGUUUUCGGUUAAAUCUGUACGCUCAACGUACAGGCUGCCGGGAAUACUGCAAAGCUAGGGAGUGGGAGAAGUAGACGGUACUCGGUAGGAAGUGGUAAAAUGCUUUGAUCUAUCGAUGACCACCUGUGGCGAAGGCGGUCUACUAGAACACGUCCGACGGUGAGGGAUGAAAGCUGGGGGAGCAAACCGGAUUAGAUACCCGGGUAGUCCCAGCUGUAAACUAUGCAAACUCAGUGAUGCAUUGGCUUGUGGCCAAUGCAGUGCUGCAGGGAAGCCGUUAAGUUUGCCGCCUGGGAAGUACGUACGCAAGUAUGAAACUUAAAGGAAUUGGCGGGGGAGCACCACAAGGGGUGAAGCCUGCGGUUCAAUUGGAUUCAACGCCGGA